AUGGAGGAGACGGAGAACGGAGGGCGCCAUGGUUCAGCCGACCUCAUCAGCGCCCUUCCGGACGAUCUGCUCCUCCAGGUCCUCGAUCGCCUCGACUCCAGACGCUCCGCCGCGCGCACCGGCCUCCUCUCCCGCCGGUGGCGCGGCCUCUCGACCCGCCUGCCCUGCCUCACCGUCACCCUCCACAAAGUCCCGCUCUGCUCGCUCGAGGCCGCGCUGGCCCACGCCAUCCGUCCCGGGGUAUGCCAUUACUACCUCGAUAUCUGUGUCCCCUCGCAGGGCACGAUCACCCCCGUCAGCAUCUCCUCGCUACUCCGCGCCGCGGCGGCGCUCUCGCCCGUCGAGAUGCUCUUCGUCCUCGAGCCGGACGUCAAGGUCCCAGCUGGUCUGGACGUGAACCUGAAUCCUAUGGCGCUGCUCUACGAUCUCCCGUGGAGCACGCAGUGCUCCCUAUUUGGGGGGAACCUGCCCCGCUUCGACCACGCCACCUCCAUCGACCUGCGCGCGCGCCACCUCCGCUUGCUCCCGCCGUCCUCCGGGUUCCCUUCGCUGGAGAGGCUCUGCCUCUCCGGCUGCGACGUCGACCUCGCCGCCUUGAUCCCUCGCUGCCCGCGCAUCCGCAUCCUCCGGGUCAACAACAAUGGUAUGGUGGCCAUGGACAGCAUCACAAUCCACUCGGCGUCGCUGCACCAACUCUCUGUGGAGAGCAGCAACAGAUGUACAUCCCGUAUAGACAUCGAGGCGCCUGUGCUUAAGCAAUUGAACCUGUCUUUCCGUGCCGGCGGCGAUCUCAGGGUCUCCUCCGUCUGGGCACCAAUGGCGGAGAAGGUCUCGUGGAGGUGCUCGUAUAAAAAGCCCACUUAUAGGCUUGGUCUCUGGGGCCUCUUGGAGGCCGGCUUAAACACCACCGACCACUCCCAAAAAGGCGGCUCGCAGCUCCCAACCGGCCAUGUCCUCUCCCUACACAUGGCUGCCCAAAGGUCAUACAGAUAUCUAAAUGCGGAGCACACCUUUGCGGCAGAGCUCGAUAAACAUAUGGUUUCCAAAUUCUCUCGUUUGGACCUACAUCUUACAACCACAGGGCAUGCGUUUGGAGCAUUGGUGUUGCGUCUCUUUGGGUUGCAUCGUAUUCGUAGAGCUAUUCAGAACCUUAGGAUCGUACUUCAAAGAUCAGAGGUGAAAGAAACAUGCCACGUAACUUGUUUCUGUGGUGAGCCCAAAGACUGGAGAACACAAACUAUCCCGUUGGCUGGUCUUGAAACCGUGGAAAUUGAAGGCCUCCACGGGGAGGAUCAUGAGUUUGAUUUCUUGAAAGUAAUGUUUACAUCUGCUCGAAUGCUUAAAAGAGUUACUCUGAGGCUGGCACAUGGUGUCACCCCAUGUGUCGAUUGGUGCACAAAAGUGAACAACAUCUUCAAGGCGUUUCCUUUCGUGAAGUGCAACGUUGAUCUGGGUCAAUAUGUAGCAGCCAGAGAUCUGCAUUGA
rnacentral:rRNA from 1 species